CUGGGUCCCACUGGGGCAUGCGCGGAGUGCAACGGUGGCAGAGUCUCCACGUAUUUCAACACUGACCACCUAGUGUGAAAACCAGUUGCACAGGUACCCAGUAGGGGCGAUGCUCCAUAUCCAGGGAGUCAAGCUGAGAGCAAAAUAGAGUAGCCACAGUUUGGAGCAUCCCUGUCUUAGGAGUCUCUGCUCUUGGAAAGGUGGCUCAGCUGAGUUCAAAGUGCCCACCCAGUCCACUGGGGCUGCUGCUUCUGCACCUGGAAGAGACCUGGUGGCAGGUGGAAGCUGGCAAAUCCCAACUUGGAAAUCCCAGCAUCCUCUUCAACUUCCCACAUUUGUGAAUAGAUCAACAGAUGAAGAAACUGGGGUUCAAAAUGAGCUCGGCUAAAGCCACAGUUUUUAAGGAGAAGAACCUUGAGUCCAAGCCAAGAGUGACUUGAAUUUCUGUUCAUUUUCCACCAUCCCAGAGGAAUAUUAGAACAAUUUCCAUUUUGCUGUACAUCAGGGUUUGUUAUUCUGGAAUUGCUUUAUGUGCCUACCAACAGGAGACAGGUUCCAUGAACUGUGCUGUACUGGGUGAUGCAUUCACAGUGCAAUACCAUGAGACAGUGUACCGGAUGCCCCCUAUGUUCAUAUCUGGAAAGUUUUCCAAGAUACACUGUUCUAGAAAAGAGUAAGUGUAUACAGUCUGCUGUCUUUUAAGAAUGAAAAUUGGGGGAGAUAAAAUGCGUUCAUUCUUGACUCACAUCAGCAUGAAUUAACAAUAGGCAAAUACACAAGGAAAAUAAUGUUACCUAGGGAGCAGUGGGGUAAUCCAGUGAGGAGUGGAUUCUCCACAUAUACCUUGUUAUUUUGAUUUGGUUGAACCCUGUGAAUGUAUUACUUAUUCAAGAAAUUAGGUACAUUUUGUACUAAAGAGAGCUUCUCCAC